rnacentral:misc_RNA from 1 species
CUUCUUCUUGGGCCAAUCUUUAGCAGUUUUCAUGGCUUCUUUCCUUAGGCUUUCAUUAGGAAGACGAUGACGACGAGCUACCAAAUCCAUGGAAGGCCCAACUUCUACCAGUUCAACAUGAGGAACUAUUGUGCCAGACUUUUUUAGCCGUAUUGCACAAUGAGUAAGGAAUACCCGAUUUGAAGAAACAGCUGUACAUACAUAUGCACGGUCCAAACCAGUAAGGUUCAAGUUUUCCACCACCUCUCCCCUCAGGAGAUCAAGCAAAACCUCCUUCAAAUGUUUCAACUCUUCUACACUUUCAAAUCCUUCUCCAAGAAAAGCAAUGAAAGGUUUAGAACCCACAUGUGGAGCUACUUUCUUGUCAUAUGUAAAUGAUGAUAUGGGUUUAAAAUUUUCAACCCCUACUUCUACAAGAUCAUAUAUGUGGUGAUCAUAGGUUCGCCCUAUUACAAGAUUGUCGGGCCGUUUCUUUGAGGUGGAACCAUACAAAAAAAUGCUGCAGUCCGUUUUUUGAGAAAAGAACUCCAAGGAAGAUUCGCCGCCGCUCUCAAAUGGCCUUAUAUUAUCAUUCUUGCGGGUAUAUCUGAUGGCACUCUCUCUCUUUAGAUGAUACAAAUCUGCCAAAACAGCAUUCAAUACACGACUCAUCUUUGUACCUUGAAGUAUCAGGGUCUUCUUCCCAGUUUCAACCUGCAGACACAACAAACAAACACAAACAAUUACGGGAAAAAGCCCCUUUUACAGCUUAAUUUUCAAGGGAAACAAACGGAAAAAAGAAAUAAAAGUAAAGGGUUGUUUAGCUCACAAGUUUUGGAGCGCGUUUUUCGAGCUCGCGCUUGAUCCUUCCUUUCUUGGGGGUUUUUGCCUUCAACAUGGUUGCUGGCGAUUCUCGCGACGGCCACGCAAAGAGCAAAGCAGAGCUCGGACUAGUGUGGCAGGAGCAAUGGAGAAAGCUAGGGUUUUAAUUCUUCUAACGUAAAGGUGGCUAGCGGCGAC